rnacentral:ncRNA from 1 species
UCCGGCGUUCUGCCGCCGGUACCCUACCGGGCCGUGCGUCGGGGGUAACCCCGAGGUGCGAAGCGUCCGGGACACGGUAGCCUCCGUCGAUAAGACGGGUGACCAAACCGCGAGGGGAGGUCGCGACUGCCAGCCUCGAGGCGGUCGGGAGC